rnacentral:rRNA from 1 species
AGUGAACGCUGGCGGUAGGCCUAACACAUGCAAGUCGAACGGCAGCACAGUAAGAGCUUGCUCUUACGGGUGGCGAGUGGCGGACGGGUGAGGAAUACAUCGGAAUCUACUUUUUCGUGGGGGAUAACGUAGGGAAACUUACGCUAAUACCGCAUACGACCUACGUGUGAAAGCAGGGGAUCUUCGGACCUUGCGCGAUUGAAUGAGCCGAUGUCGGAUUAGCUAGUUGGCGGGGUAAAGGCCCACCAAGGCGACGAUCCGUGGCUGGUCUGAGAGGAUGAUCAGCCACACUGGAACUGAGACACGGUCCAGACUCCUACGGGAGGCAGCAGUGGGGAAUAUUGGACAAUGGGCGCAAGCCUGAUCCAGCCAUACCGCGUGGGUGAAGAAGGCCUUCGGGUUGUAAAGCCCUUUUGUUGGGAAAGAAAAGCAGCAGGUUAAUACCCCGCUGUUCUGACGGUACCCAAAGAAUAAGCACCGGCUAACUUCGUG